rnacentral:rRNA from 1 species
GACACGACCGUACCGCAAACCGACACUGGUGCGCGAGAUGAGUAUUCUAAGGCGCUUGAGAGAACUCAGGAGAAGGAACUCGGCAAAUUGACACCGUAACUUCGGAAGAAGGUGUGCCUUUAGUAGGUGAACCAUUUACUUGGGGAGCCCAAUGAGGCUGCAAAAAAUCGGUGGCUGCAACUGUUUAUUAAAAACACAGCACUCUGCUAAGACGAAAGUCGACGUAUAGGGUGUUACGCCUGCCCGGUGCUGGAAGAUUAAAUGAUGGGGUGCAAGCUCUUGAUUGAAGUCCCAGUAAACGGCGGCCGUAACUAUAACGGUCCUAAGGUAGCGAAAUUCCUUGUCGGGUAAGUUCCGACCUGCACGAAUGGCGUAAUGAUGGCCACACUGUCUCCUCCUGAGACUCAGCGAAGUUGAAAUGUUUGUGAUGAUGCAAUCUCCCCGCGGAAAGACGGAAAGACCCCAUGAACCUUUACUGUAGCUUUGUAUUGGACUUUGAACAGAUCUGUGUAGGAUAGGUGGGAGGCUUUGAAGUGUGGUCGCUAGAUCGCAUGGAGCCAACGUUGAAAUACCACCCUGGUGUGUUUGAGGUUCUAACCUAGGUCCAUUAUCUGGAUCGGGGACAGUGCAUGGUAGGCAGUUUGACUGGGGCGGUCUCCUCCCAAAGUGUAACGGAGGAGUUCGAAGGUACGCUAGGUACGGUCGGACAUCGUGCUAAUAGUGCAAUGGCAUAAGCGUGCUUAACUGCGAGACUGACAAGUCGAGCAGAUGCGAAAGCAGGACAUAGUGAUCCGGUGGUUCUGUAUGGAAGGGCCAUCGCUCAACGGAUAAAAGGUACUCUGGGGAUAACAGGCUGAUACCGCCCAAGAGUUCAUAUCGACGGCGGUGUUUGGCACCUCGAUGUCGGCUCAUCUCAUCCUGGGGCUGUAGCCGGUCCCAAGGGUAUGGCUGUUCGCCAUUUAAAGAGGUACGUGAGCUGGGUUUAAAACGUCGUGAGACAGUUUGGUCCCUAUCUUCCGUGGGCGCUGCAGAUUUGAGGAAGCCUGCUCCUAGUACGAGAGGACCGGAGUGGACGAACCUCUGGUGUAUCGGUUGUCACGCCAGUGGCAUUGCCGAGUAGCUAAGUUCGGAAGAGAUAACCGCUGAAAGCAUCUAAGCGGGAAACUCGUUUCAAGAUUAGAUCUGCCGGGGCCUUGAGCCCCCUAAAGAGUCGUUCAAGACCAGGACGUUGAUAGGUCAGGUGUGGAAGCCA